rnacentral:lncRNA from 1 species
UGCGUGAUUAAAAUGUUAUGAACUCAUGAAAUAUGUGUUGAAUUUAAACCCAAAGAGAAAAUAAUUUUAUUGAUAUUAAUUACUUACACAAUUUGGACAAACAUACCACUAUCCACUACAAUCCUCUCUAAUAUUAUGUUCGCAACACUAUCACAUAUUUCUCUCUCACAGCACUAUUCCUUACCGCUUUUUCUCAUCUCUCACUUCACAAAAAAUGCAAUUGAACACAGAUAUAUGCACUAUGCAGGCGCUGAAGUCGGUGGCUUUUUCUUCUUCACAAACGUCAGUGAUUCUAGAUAAUUCCAUGAAUUAAUUAUAAGGAAUUCUCAUCGACUCUAGAAUGGCGAUGGUGUGUGAAUUCUUCCAGGUUUUUCUAGCCGUGGCUGCACAAGGAAAAUUCUAGAAAUGAUUUUGGGGCCAUAGUCAGUUGCAACUUCUUCAAUUCUCCCCUUCAACAUUCACUUUUCAUUUCAACUCUUUUCUUUUUAGGCAAGCCUAGCUCUUCCUCAAACUCGACAAGUUUCCCAUUUUGCGCUUUAACGAAUGGGCUCGAGUUUGCUGUGUUACUGAAUAUUCACUUUGAACUAAGAAUUCGACUAUCUUACCCUGCCAUGCUCGUGGUGUUUCUUUAACCCAUAUAGAGCCUUCUUUAACUUGCAAAUGAAGCACAUGUGACCAACAGCUACUACAACCAAAGCUGAGGUUCACGUCACCAUUGGAGAAAUUGUGGAAGAUGAAGUCAAUAGUAAGUCACUUUCGUGUCUUUUGCUGCAUCUGUUAUGUAUUUGUGCCUAAUCACUUGAGGAGCAAGUUUGAUCAGAAGGCAAUUUGGCAGCUUCGAAUGAACUAGAAAUAUAUAGCCCCUUCAACCACACAAUCUUCCAUAAAAUAAUAUUACACGUAAAUCGAAAAUUUUUCAUUUUUUUUCAACCACGUAUUCUUCAAAAAAAUAUUAUUCCAAACAUUAAAACGUGGAAAAAAUGGGGGAAGCAUAAUAGUGAAGAGGCAUCCACAACAAUAAUUGAACAUGCUCAAAAAGGAAAAUCAAUUCAAGUCCAAAGGAUGAAUUAGCAUUGGUAAUAGUCCUGCCUGAACAAAUAGAUUACAAAGAAAAUUAGAUUGAUUACUCUGGAGGGGACAUCAAGGUUCAUGAAAAGUGUUCUUGGUGGAUUCCGCAGACAGGAGCUACCAGAUUCAAAUGAAAUGUUUGAAGAAACAUAUUAUUGGUAGACACUGCAAAGGGUGGAGCUACUAUAUUUAAAGGAAAUGAAAGAUAAAUUGCAAGAGGAGAUCACGAAAGUAUAAUGAACCGCCGAGGGAUCUAAAGAUCUAUAGGUAUCAAAUGUUAAAGAAGAGUUUAUAAGAGAAAUACAGAGUUCUGGGAAAUAUGAGAUGGUCUAGAAAAGGUAAGUACAAAUUUCACAAAUAAGAAAAUCAGGUGGACAUGAGAAAUCAAGUACCAAGCAUACCAGUCUAAAGAUAGAUGAAGGGGAAAACACGAAAGAGUCAG